UACCCUGCUAGCUGUAGUGAUGGGCCUGCCUCUGUGCUCACUCUAAGACCUCUGACCAUUGGCUCUGACUCCGGCACUGACCUUCAGUGCUGUUCCCGGCUGCCUCUGCUCUGACAAUUAGGUAAUGACUUUUCCAUGGCUCAGUUGUGGCACAAGGUCUCUUUUCAGAUGCUCUUGGGUGACAUGGAAAAUUUGCCCUUCCCUGGGGACCCUGAUUCCUGCAUCAGGACCUACACUUGGGCCUGACUUCCAGUUACACUAAGGCUCUCAGGUAGAAAUGGUGCCUUGAAGGUCCCUCCAGCCAUUGUAGAGCCCUGAAGUUGCUUCACCUAGCACUGAGAUCCCAGCAAACGGCAGAAUGUGGAGACGGCAAAGGGCUACUCCCAAAGAGGAGAUUAGAGUGACAGGGAGUAUCAAUGCAAUCAGCUGUUGACAGAUCCCACAGAGCAACUAUAGAAACAGUGAGCUGGGCCCAUCGCCUGGGGACCUAGCACUGACAGCUAUCUCUUUGUGGCAUAAAUAUACGGCUUUCACUCUGGCUCAGUCAUGCUCUUAAAUAAUUAAGACAAGGAGUUGUGACUUAAGCAUGAAAUACUUUUUUAUAACAAAGAAGCCAUGCAGCUGGUUUUAAGUUGGGACUUUUCUUGGGCGGACUACACAGGAGCUACGCUUGCAGACAAUAUUUUGCUUGCUUUCUUUGGGGGGGGAACAGAACAACUUAUGCAUCAACCACACAGGUGGGGCGGAGGCUGGGGGAAAUAGAAUCACAGCACUGUUUAAUCUGUAUUGUAUACAGAUAUGCUAUUCACAUUUGCUCACUCAUACGUUGCUUGUACAAGCAUGGAGCUUAGAACCCCAAUCUCCAGAUUCCCACUUCUGAGCUCUAGUCCCAGCUCUGCCACCGAGCUGCUGUGUGACCUUGGGCUUUUCUUUUCCCCUCAAACCCUUCUAUCUUGUCUAUGUAGAUUAUAAGCUCUUUGGAGCAGGAGCUGCCCCUUACAACACCCACCAUAGCAGACCACUGACUUUGCCUGGGCCCUCAAGGUAUCACUGUAACAUAAGAAGAAAGUUUGUAGCUGUGGCCUCAAGUUGGUAGAGCUCACUGUAGGAUCAGACCCCAUGUGACAAUUUGCUUAGCCGGGUGCUAAACCUUUCCAGCCCUUCACCUGGACUCGGUCCACCAAUCCAUUUCCCUUUUUCUAACACUCCAAACCCAGAAGCAGCUUCAGACACCUGCCUUUUUUCCUUCUUUUUCCCACCCACCAGAGCAAACUUUUUCCUCCUCCUUCAAGUUGUGGAAUUUUCUCAAAAGAACAUUACCUUGACCUGAACCUUAGAGCAGGUAAGAAAAGGAUUUUCCACCUUAGCAUCCCCUCGCCUGGACCACUCACCCCAUCUCCGUAAGCUUCAGUCCCAGAACAGCGACAGUUUUCCUCUGCAC